UACAGCCAUAUCACUUUGAAACAUCAGUUCUCGUACGAUCACCAAAGUUAAGCAACACCGAACUUAGUCAGUACCUAAAUGGGUGACCUCUUGGGGAUACCAGGCGCUGUAAG